AGGGAUUUAGCUCAGCAGGCACAAGCACCUGCCUGGCAAGCAGGAGGUUGUGAGUUCAAUCCCUG
rnacentral:tRNA from 1 species